rnacentral:rRNA from 1 species
UACAGAGACUGCAAGCGUUAUUCGGAUUCACUGGGCGUAAAGGGUGCGCAGGUGGCCAAGUGUGUUAGGCGUGAAAGCCCGGGGCUUAACCCCGGAAUUGCACCUAAAACUACUUGGCUAGAGCAUUGGAGAGGGGAGCAGAAUUCAUGGUGUAGCAGUGAAAUGCGUAGAUAUCAUGAGGAAUACCAGAGGCGAAGGCGGCUCCCUGGACAACACCUGACACUGAGGCACGAAAGCUAGGGGAGCAAACAGG